rnacentral:misc_RNA from 1 species
UCCUCAUCUUCAAUUUCUAGCUCUUCCUCAUCAUCUGUAUCCAUCUCUUCAUCACUUUCUUGUUCAUUCUCUUCUUCAUUUUCCAAUUUUUUAGCAUCGACGUUACCGGAUUCAUUGUAAAGGAGUCCACCAGUACACAGGCCCUCUUCAAUCUUGACAAGUUGAAGAGUCAUUCUAGGUCCAAUCUCUUGAAGUUUGACAGCACUUUUCGUAGAAGCUCGAUUAACUCUUCCAAUAUCAGAUGACAGAUUUACGGUUGCUGCCUCAUCAUCCCCUUCACUUUCAGAUCCAUAACCAGCUUUGGUUACAAAGUCACUAACAUCUUGAAGACUUCUUAGAUCAGGCACUUGAUGGUUUUGCACAAAUUUCCUGAUUCGGCGAGAAACACCCACUGGCUGUAAUCUGAUAGAGUAGUGUCGGAAAUCAAUAAGCUUUGUUUCUUUAUCAUAAUUAAGUAAUACAAUCCUUUGGCAUGAAGACAGCUUGACUGUAUUUAUGUCAAUGGCAGGAAAAAUGUUCUGGAAUAUAAACGUAGUGAGCUUUAGGUGUUCUUCCCCUGUACCAAAACCAGAUAGCACAAUCAACGGUGGGUUUUUGAAAAGAUCCGGAGGGCAUCUUGGACGGAGUUGAGAUUGAGCAAUGUCAGCAGCCAACGAAUAUUUAUGUAUUUUAAACGUUAAAGUUGGACCGUGCUUCAUUUUGGCAACCUUCAAGUAUGCUGCAGAGUCUGUUUUAGACAAUAUGAGGAAAUGUGUGACCAUCAUACCAUUAGCAAGACUCACGAAAUCUUUGAGUUUAUUUCGUUUUGAUUCCUUGAGCUUGAGAGCAGUAUAAGGAAGCAUCAAUUUUCGCAAGUCCAUUUGCAACUGUUUGAGAGGACCAGAAAUCUUCCCCCUUGAAAACACCAAACUCUUUGGAAUCUUGUCUCCAGUAACAUGGUCGACCGUUGGCGUCUUCUUCGCAAUUUGCUUGACAAACGGCUUCCUGUUUUUACUCUUGAAACGACCCAUAAUCUACUAAUACUCCAAGUUUACUCUGAAUCCUGCAAAUUGCGAGCUAUAAAUUUAAGGGUUUUUUAGAAAUUCCCCAAAUAUAUGAUUUUG